UACAGAGGUCUCAAGCGUUGUUCGGAUUCAUUGGGCGUAAAGGGUGCGUAGGCGGCGCGGUAAGUCGGGUGUGAAAUCUCGGAGCUUAACUCCGAAACUGCAUUCGAUACUGCCGGUGCUUGAGGACUGGAGAGGAGACUGGAAUUUACGGUGUAGCGGUGAAAUGCGUAGAUAUCGUAAGGAAGACCAGUGGCGAAGGCGGGUCU
rnacentral:rRNA from 1 species